rnacentral:rRNA from 1 species
CUAUCUUUAUUUUUACUGUGAACUGUUUUUAUUUCACGGUGCUUGAGGGAUUGCUCGGUACGUCAUAAUGGACAGGCUACCGAGAUGUUAACCGAACCGUGGUCAGGCUUAGGCCUGGUGUCCUAUUUAUUAUUUACCAAAAAAAAGAAUUCAGUAUAAAAUAUUGUAACAUAAGCCUAAAAAACUUAUAAAAACAACUUUUAACAACGGAUCUCUUGGUUCUCGCAUCGAUGAAGAACGUAGCAAAGUGCGAUAACUAGUGUGAAUUGCAUAUUCAGUGAAUCAUCGAGUCUUUGAACGCAUCUUGCACUCACUGGUAUUCCAGUGAGUACGCCUGUUUCAGUAUCAAAAACACCCCACAUUCAAUUCAUUUUGAGUGGAACUGAGAGUUCACGGUCUUUUUCAGACUGUACUCUUUAAAAUUAUUAGGCCUGAAAAUUUGGAUUGUCUUGCCUGAACAUUUUUUUAAUAUAAAGGAAUGCUCUUGUUAAACAUCUUUCUCCUGGGGCCUGCCAAAUAAAUCUAUU